rnacentral:lncRNA from 1 species
AGUUUCAAUAUGACUGCCUGGAUGAAGAAGGAUUUGAGACUAAGUUUAUUCCUCCAGAGCAAACCAACUGAGAAUGCAGUUUUCAGUGCAACCCAUCAUCAAAGGGAAGGAGUUGAUGAAAAGAAAUGAAAUUGAAACGUGCACCUGGGGAGAAGUGAUUGAAGGUUCUUCAUUUAAGGGACUGGCUCCUUUUCUCUUAUUAUACUGUGAAAUCUGAAAACAUCUCUUGAAAUUCUGGUCACUGUCUUCUGGACAUCCCAAGGCACACCAUCCCCACAGUUCCUUCCUCCUAGAUUAUUCCAUCCAGUGUGGCAUCCAGUGUGGCAAAUCGAAAAAGACUCUUCCAGUGGGCAACUGAAAAGGACACCAAAGAAAGCAGAUACAGCCCAUGAUCAAAGAAGCACAUAACUUCAGUUUGGAACAUG